rnacentral:snRNA from 1 species
GAUAGGCCCAUAGUUUAAUCUCU